ACCAUUCAGAGACCUAAUUUUCCACUUCUUCUUACGUUUUGAAGUGCUGGUCAGAAAGUGGGUGUGCCAUCUAUUGGAACAAGUGGUAACCUGAAUGAGCAAGGUCUGGUGAAUAUGGCGGAUUUGAUGUGGAAUUU